GAUGAACGCUGGCGGCGUGCCUAAUACAUGCAAGUCGAGCGAACAGACGAGGAGCUUGCUCCUCUGACGUUAGCGGCGGACGGGUGAGUAACACGUGGAUAACCUACCUAUAAGACUGGGAUAACUUCGGGAAACCGGAGCUAAUACCGGAUAACAUGUUGAACCGCAUGGUUCAACAGUGAAAGACGGUCUUGCUGUCACUUAUAGAUGGAUCCGCGCCGCAUUAGCUAGUUGGUAAGGUAACGGCUUACCAAGGCAACGAUGCGUAGCCGACCUGAGAGGGUGAUCGGCCACACUGGAACUGAGACACGGUCCAGACUCCUACGGGAGGCAGCAGUAGGGAAUCUUCCGCAAUGGGCGAAAGUCUGACGGAGCAACGCCGCGUGAGUGAUGAAGGUCUUCGGAUCGUAAAACUCUGUUAUUAGGGAAGAACAAAUGUGUAAGUAACUAUGCACGUCUUGACGGUACCUAAUCAGAAAGCCACGGCUAACUACGUG
rnacentral:rRNA from 1 species